GCAUGACUCGUGCCAGCGGCGGGGUGAAUACAGAGGGGGGAAGGUGUAAUCUGAAUUGCUGGGCGUAAAGCGAGCGUAGGUGGUGCGUUAAGUUGGAUGUGAAAUCCCCGGGCUCAACCUGGGAACUGCAUCUAAAACUGGCUAGCUAGAGUAGGGCAGAGGGUGGGGGAAUUGCCGGUGUAGCGGGGAAAUGCGUAGAUAUAGGAAGGAACACCAGUGGCGAAGGCGACCACCUGGACUGAUACUGACACUGAGGUGCGAAAGCGUGGGGAGCAAACAGGAUUAGAUACCCCGGUAGUC
rnacentral:rRNA from 1 species